AAAAGAGUAUGAAUGUAAAGAUCUGCCCACCAUUCAAUGAACGUUCAAUUUCUCAUGCAAUUUUAGUUCAAGUAAAGAUGGAAAGAAAUAAUUAUUUGACACACAAAAGUUAACAUUAUUUGAUGUAUGUAUUUCACAUGAUUAACGGCUCUUUUCAUGUAUACCUCAGUUGUGAUCCAGUGAUUUGUUU